ACCACUCUGGAAAAGAAACAUUUCCAACAGGCUUGCUGAGAAAUACACGCAAUUCAGAUUUACUUUAAAGGACACCCCAAUGUCAGCAGUAAUUGUAAGUGCAUCUGUGAGAACCAGCUGAUAUCACUACCCAUUGCCAGCUAAUGUUUAUUAUAUCCUAUACUAUAUUUUAUUUUUGAACUCCAAGCUUUGCAACUCUGACCAGAAAGCUUUUACUAUAGUAUUUUGAGAGGCAUGUUACCUUUCAAAGUUGGAAAAUCAUUUGGAAAAAACAGCCAAUCACAUGCUAUUCUGAUAUCAAGAUCCUCUUUCUAGGAAGCUUUUAUUUGUUCUGAAGUCUACUCUUGGACACCCAUAUCCACUGUUCCAGUGCAUGAACCAGGAACUUUUGCACUUCUGCAAGUUAUGAAAGAGAGGAGACAGCCAUGUCUUCCUGAGCACACUCAUUUCCUUGAGCAACUAAUUCCUUGCUCUCUUGAGUAAAGGCAGUGUUUGCAAUUAGCCUUCCAACAAGGACUGCUGGACAAGGCAUUAGAAUUACUAAAGGGCAUGACUGUGAAAUCAUAACACUGUAGUUUUUCCAACCACCUGGCAAGUUGCCCCUCAGGAUCCUAAAUCUAAAGCAUCAUUGCAGAGAUGUGAGGUCUGCCCUGACCACAGAUUUCCUUCAGUACAAAUGGUGAAAAUGUUCUAUAAAUUCAACCGCUGCCAAGAGUUUAUUUCAGGUGGGGAAAUAAUUUCUUUCUGGAGAAAGAUAAGCCACCACCCUCUCAAGUCCUUUGUUUUCUUGUGUCAAUACUGACCCCAAUCAGUAGUCACUGCUAUCAGCAUCCAAUAUGAAAAGGGUUUUGAAAUAUGGAUAGGCCAAGACAGGAGCUGUGACAAAAACCCUUCUCAGCCCUGAAAAGUACAUUCUGCUGACCAUUAAAAUGUUUUCCCUUUCUCAUC